AGUGAACGCUGGCGGUAGGCCUAACACAUGCAAGUCGAACGGCAGCACAGUAAGAGCUUGCUCUUACGGGUGGCGAGUGGCGGACGGGUGAGGAAUACAUCGGAAUCUACUUUUUCGUGGGGGAUAACGUAGGGAAACUUACGCUAAUACCGCAUACGACCUACGGGUGAAAGCAGGGGAUCUUCGGACCUUGCGCGAUUGAAUGAGCCGGUGUCGGAUUAGCUAGUUGGCGGGGUAAAGGCCCACCAAGGCGACGAUCCGUAGCUGGUCUGAGAGGAUGGACGGCCACCCUGGGAAGGAGACAACGCACAGACCCCUACGGGAGGGAGACGGAGGGAAUUUGUGGAAAUGGACGGAAGGCUGGCACAGCCACGCCGGGGGGGGGAAGAAGGGUGUUGGGUUGUAAAGCUCUGUUGUUAGAGAAGAAAGAGCGUGAGGGUAUACCCCUCCUGUUGUGACGGUACCAAAAAAAAAAGCGCCGGCUAACUUCGUG
rnacentral:rRNA from 1 species